CACCAGACUCCUACGGGAGGCAGCAGUGGGGAAUAUUGGGCAAUGGGCGCAAGCCUGACCCAGCAACGCCGCGUGAAGGAAGAAGGCUUUCGGGUUGUAAACUUCUUUUAUCAGGGACGAAGCAAGUGACGGUACCUGCAAAGGAAGCACCGGCUAACUCCGUGCCAGCAGCCGCGGUAAUACGGAGGGUGCGAGCGUUAUCCGGAUUUACUGGGUGUAAAGGGGGCGCAGACGGCGAUGCAAGCCAGGAGUGAAAGCCCGGGGCCCAACCCCGGGACUGCUCUUGGAACUGCGUGGCUGGAGUGCAGGAGGGGCAGGCGGAAUUCCUGGUGUAGCGGUGAAAUGCGUAGAUAUCAGGAGGAACACCGGUGGCGAAGGCGGCCUGCUGGACUGCAACUGACGUUGAGGCCCGAAAGCGUGGGGAGCAAACAGGAUUAGAUACCCGUGUAA
rnacentral:rRNA from 1 species